GAUGAACGCUGGCGGCGUGCCUAAUACAUGCAAGUCGAGCGAACAGACGAGGAGCUUGCUCCUUUGACGUUAGCGGCGGACGGGUGAGUAACACGUAGGUAACCUACCUAUAAGACUGGGAUAACUUCGGGAAACCGGAGCUAAUACCGGAUAAUAUUUCGAACCGCAUGGUUCGAUAGUGAAAGAUGGCUUUGCUAUCACUUAUAGAUGGACCUGCGCCGUAUUAGCUAGUUGGUAAGGUAACGGCUUACCAAGGCAACGAUACGUAGCCGACCUGAGAGGGUGAUCGGCCACACUGGAACUGAGACACGGUCCAGACUCCUACGGGAGGCAGCAGUAGGGAAUCUUCCGCAAUGGGCGAAAGCCUGACGGAGCAACGCCGCGUGAGUGAUGAAGGUCUUCGGAUCGUAAAACGCUGUUAUUAGGGAAGAACAAACGUGUAAGUAACUGUGCACGUCUUGACGGUACCGAAGCAGAAAGCCACGGCUAACUACGG
rnacentral:rRNA from 1 species